GCAGUAGCCGCGGUAAUACGUAGGUGGCAAGCGUUGUCCGGAAUUAUUGGGCGUAAAGCGCGCGCAGGCGGAUCAGUCAGUCUGUCUUAAAAGUUCGGGGCUUAACCCCGUGAGGGGAUGGAAACUGCUGAUCUAGAGUAUCGGAGAGGAAAGUGGAAUUCCUAGUGUAGCGGUGAAAUGCGUAGAUAUUAGGAAGAACACCAGUGGCGAAGGCGGCUUUCUGGACGAAAACUGACGCUGAGGCGCGAAAGCCAGGGGAGCGAACGGGAUUAGAUACCCCCGUAGUCCCUGUCUCUUAUACA
rnacentral:rRNA from 1 species